GCGCCCUAAGAUAAACCCAAGGAUAAUCCAGCAGUGAAAAGCCACGGAGUCCAAAGUUUUCAGGGCUGAACUUGCAAGAACCUGUGAACUUCCAGCAUUUCCCCAGUUAAAAGAAAACAAAUAAGGGCAGAAGAAAUAAGAAAGAGAAAAGAGAAAUGCACCUCCACGCUCAUGGCAACAAUCACGUGACCCGGUGCCCCAGGUUUCCAAGGAGCUGAUCUGCAUGUAUACAGGUAGUGUUCCCAGGCACGGAGGACGCAAAUGGGCUCGCAGUUCAUUAAACAGCAAGUGGGCCCCAGGAGACAGUAGCCUCCUGUAAAGAAAAGAACCAGAGGUCCAGAAAAUUUCCUGCCCUUGCUGCCAGAGAAAUUUACUAUGUCUCCAAGUGUGAGGGUUCUGAAGUCCAGAGAGGUGAUUUUUCCAGGGCUGCAGCUAGCCAGUGACAGAGCACAGACCUGGACUUCCUGACAUCCCACCUCCACGGUCUCCUGCUCCUGCCUACAUUUGGACACCAAUAACCCUCGUCUGUCUGAAGUUAAACUUCUUGUGAUUGCUUUGGGAAACGAUAACUGAAUUAAAACGGAGUCGGCAGUGCUGUGUGCGUGUGUCCAUUUUCAAUAAACACUAAACUUCAGAGGUAUAAUGCCUCCCAGCAGACAUAAUACUAUAGCCAUUGGAAGAGCCCUAAGUGAAAAAAAAAGAACAGUCUGCAUACCACAAUUAUGGAUGCGCAGUAGGGCACAGAGCAGCCACUCUCAAAGUGGCAUCUGCAGACUGCUGGGGGUUCACAUUCUAUGAGGUCAAGGUCAUUUUCAAAAUAAUACUAAAACGUUAUUUGCCCUUUUCACUCUGUUGACAUUUUUCACUAUAUGCUACGACAAAAGCAGUGGUGGGUACAACCACUGACACUUUAUACGGAUCAAGGCAGGGACAUCAACUAUAUGAGUUACUAGAUUAUUCGCUCUCAUGUGCUUAACUGUAAAAAACAAAGAAAAAGCCAGUUCACUUAAGAAUACCCUAGAGAAAGAACAUGCGUUUCUAAUAUAUUGUGGGACACAACAGAAAGCACGCAUAAAGCUCUUUCCCUGUGUGCCCAAGUAUGAUGGCUGAGAAAAAGCUCUGUGUGAUUAUUUACGUUUUGCGCUGAACUACAUUUUCAUACAAUGCUAUUUUUACUUGGAAAAAAAAACAGCUACUAAGCUAUACGUAUAUAUAAAUACUAACAGAUUUUUCUGAAGAGAUAAAUGUUAAUAUUAAUAAAUGUGAAUU